UACAGAGGUCCCAAGCGUUGUUCGGAUUCAUUGGGCGUAAAGGGUGUGUAGGUGGCGCCGUAAGUCGGGUGUGAAAUCUCGGGGCUUAACUCCGAAACUGCAUUCGAUACUGCGGUGCUUGAGGACUGGAGAGGAGACUGGAAUUCAUGGUGUAGCAGUGAAAAUGCGUAGAGAUCAUGAGGAAGACCAGUGGCGAAGGCGGGUCUCUGGACAGUUCCUGACACUGAGACACGAAGGCCAGGGGAGCAAACGGG
rnacentral:rRNA from 1 species